rnacentral:rRNA from 1 species
AGUGAACGCUGGCGGUAGGCCUAACACAUGCAAGUCGAACGGCAGCACAGUAAGAGCUUGCUCUUACGGGUGGCGAGUGGCGGACGGGUGAGGAAUACAUCGGAAUCUACUUUUUCUUGGGGGAUAACGUAGGGAAACUUACGCUAAUACCGCAUACGACCUACGGGUGAAAGCAGGGGAUCUUCGGCCCUUGCGCGAUUGAAUGAGCCGAUGUCGGAUUAGCUAGUUGGCGGGGUAAAGGCCCACCAAGGCGACGAUCCGUAGCUGGUCUGAGAGGAUGAUCAGCCACACUGGAACUGAGACACGGUCCAGACUCCUACGGGAGGCAGCAGUGGGGAAUAUUGGACAAUGGGCGCAAGCCUGAUCCAGCCAUACCGCGUGGGUGAAGAAGGCCUUCGGGUUGUAAAGCCCUUUUGUUGGGAAAGAAAAGCAGCAGGUUAAUACCCCGCUGUUCUGACGGUACCCAAAGAAUAAGCACCGGCUAACUUCGUG